rnacentral:rRNA from 1 species
AUGCUUGUCCAGCAAGUCUUCAGCCAUGUAGAAGCCUUCUUUGAGUUCCUGAAGCCAUUUGUCCAACUUGGGCCUGUGGUUUCCCUUGUUUGCUGCUUCAAUCACCAGCUCGAGUUGCGGCAUGAUAGUGGUCUCCAGUUCAUGGAGCUCGUGCAUCUCAGACCUGCUUUUGACAUAUCUAUCCUAUUCUUAUUUGGGUACUAUAUGCACCUCUUUGGGCUUCUAUUGAAUCGAGAAAUUGGAUUGUACAUCUUUCAUCUUAUUGAUUUUGAUACAUUCCAACGGAUAAUGCAAAUCGAAGCUAUUUGA